rnacentral:rRNA from 1 species
AUACAGAGGUGGCGAGCGUUGUUCGGAUUUACUGGGCGUAAAGGGUGCGUAGGCGGCGAUACAAGUCAGAGGUGAAAGCUAUGGGCUCAACCCAUAAACUGCCUUUGAAACUGUAUUGCUUGAGUAUUGCAGAGGAAAGUGGAAUUCAUGGUGUAGCGGUGAAAUGCGUAGAUAUCAUGGAGAACACCUAUGGCGAAGGCAGCUUUCUGGGCAAAUACUGACGCUGAGGCGCGAAAGCUAGGGUAGCGAACAGGAUUAGAAACCCCAGUAGUCC